AGCAGCCGCGGUAAUUCCAGCUCCAAUAGCGUAUAUUAAAGUUGUUGCAGUUAAAAAGCUCGUAGUUGAAUUUCGGGAUCAAUAUGUUGGUCGUGCCUCGGUACGUACUAGCUUAUUGGUUUCUCCUUUCUGAAGAACCAUGAUGUCAUUUAUUUGGUGUCGUGGGGAAUCAGGACUGUUACUUUGAAAAAAUUAGAGUGUUUAAAGCAGGCUCACGCUUGAAUACAUUAGCAUGGAAUAAUGAAAUAGGACGUUUGAUUCUAUUUUGUUGGUUUCUAGGAUCGACGUAAUGAUUAAUAGGGAUAGUUGGGGGCAUUAGUAUUCAAUUGUCAGAGGUGAAAUUCUUGGAUUUAUUGAAGACUAACUACUGCGAAAGCAUUUGCCAAGGAUGUUUUCAUUAAUCAAGAACGAAAGUUAGGGGAUCGAAGACGGUCAGAUACCGUCGUAGUC
rnacentral:rRNA from 1 species